GUGCAUCAUAUUGCAUUCAUGCAUCUCAUCAUGUCACUUUUGGUUCUUAUAAAAAUUGCAUUUGGUUUUAUUUUGUCAUUUCAUCUUUUAUGUGUGAUUUUCUAUCUCUCUUUGUUUUACCUCUAUCUCACUUGAGAUGUUCCAAUCUAAAGCCUGCCUAUCCUAUUCCUAAUACUUGACCACUUUCAAAAAGGUCAUGCCAAAACUUCCAUUCUUAUGGGUUAUUAUUAUUACCCCUCUCCUAUAUCUUCUAUUUUAUAAUUAAUCAAUAUAAUAAAUAUUUUUGCAAUGGAAAAUGGUUUUGUUUUGGUUACAUAUAAAACAACAUUGCAUACAGAUUAUUUUACCAAUCUCUCUCUUCUCUUUUUCCACAUUCAGUUUUGCUAAAAAAUAUGGUUCGGUCAAAAAUCUGAGAAGUUUUGGAAGUAAAGGGGAAAAAGAAAACAAAGCUAACCUAUCUACUCUAACCAGCCCAGCCUUUACCUGUUGACCGAGCGAGGAGUCCUCUGUUUUUCCUCCAGCACGUGAACAAGGAUGAGGAAAGCGUGAGCAUCUCCUUCCCUUUCCUUUUCCCUUUCUCCUCAAUUGAACCAGAGCAAAACCCUAGGCUCCCUCUUCCCCUUGUGCCGCCGCUGCCUCCUCUGCUCCUCCAAGCGCCCAGCCAGAACCACAUCCGAGAGCCACCAAAAGUUUCGCCGGAGAAGACCAAGACCGCGCCGUCGAACCAAACCGCUGCGUCGCCGUCCGAGCGCGGGGAUGGAGCCGCCGUGGCGUCCUCUUCCUCCUCGCUGAACCGGAGCCGGAGCUGCUCAAGAACGCCGCCGCCGCCGCCAAGACGUACCGGGAGCGCCGCCGUGCACGCCGACGACCUCCGCUUCGCCCCGCCGUCGUCUCCAUCCUCCCCAACCUUCUCCCUCGACGUGCUCGUCGUUUGUGGCGUCGGAACCUCAACAUCGUCGAUCUUGGUCGAGCUGCGCCAUCCUUCACUCAAAAGGGUCGAGCCCCUCUUCAGUCAUCAGUUAAUCUAGCAGUUCGCCUGUUCCAUCUGCACCGAAGACGCCGGUACCGAGGAGUACGGUGAGGAGUACGACUACUACCCCGAGGAGGAUCGUGCCAGUUUCUCUUCUUCUGACUUGACAGGCGAGCACUUUUUCCCUGCUACCUAUUUUCUGCUUUGCCUCUUUACCUUACUGCUGUACUGGUGUGCCGUUCUUGUCACGAAUCCUAUCGCAUGUUACCUAAUGCAAGCCAUAGACCCAUACAUAUAUCCUACAGCUAUUGUUUGGUUACAGGGUCAGCCAUGCGAGUCGUAGGCUUGCUUAGUACCGUUGUUAUAUGUUGUCACUAUUAUCGCUAUCGCCACUGUUAUCUAGUUGGGUUAUAUCUGUUGGGGGGUUCCGAGAUACAUGGUUAUGGUUAUAUCUGUUCGAUAAGAUCACACCUUACUUAUUCAUGCUAAUAAUAAAAUUGUUAAGUAGAGGCAUCGG